rnacentral:lncRNA from 1 species
AGUACUGAGGUAGCGCUCGUCCUCCCGCCGGUCCACCACCACCGAGUGUAGCCCGGGCCCGGCCUAUUUCAUCAGACACAACCCCAGAGCCGGGAGCCACCCCUACCCCGGGAGCCCUUCGCCAAGCACGCAGCUCCAGACCAGAAGCAGUCGCUCCGACCCAGAGCUCCGGGUGAGGCAGAAGAAUCUUUUCUUGCUGCUCUCCUAGGAUCUACCAACCAGAGAUUCUAAUGUGAUACGUUUGGAAUGGAGUUAUCGAUCUGCAUUUUUAAUAGGCAUUCCUCCAGGCUUGGGUCCCAGCUCCAAAAUGUCUCAUUAUCUGUAUUUGAAUAUCCCCAAAUUUGAAAAAUUCAAAAUCUGAAACACUUCUGAUCCCAAGCAUUUCAGACUCCUAAGAGUUAAUACGAAGUAGAAAGAGAAGUUGGAGUUAAGCAGCUCGUUCCAGUUCUGAUUUUGCCAUUUCCUGUCUGAGUGACCUGACUUCCCUCUCUGCCUCCAGCCAUGACUGUAAGUUUCCUGAGGCCCUCACCAGAAGCCGAGCAGAUGUUGGUGCCAUGCUUAUACAGCCUGAAGAACUGUGAGCUGAUUAAAUUUAUUUUCUUUAUAAAUUACCCAGCCUCAGGUGUUUCUUUUGUUUUGAAACAGAGUCUCGUUCUGUCACCCAGGCUGGAGUACAGUGGCGCAAUCUUGGCUCACUGCAACCUCCACCUCCCACAUUCAAGCGAUUCUCCUGUCUCAUACCCCCAAGUAGCUGGGAUUACAGUGUGCACCACCACACCUGGCUAAAUUUUGUAAUUUUAGUAGAGACAGGGUUUUGCUAUGUUGGCCAGGCUGGUCUUAAACUUCUGACCUGAAGUGAUCUGCCUGCCUCAGCCUCCCAAAGUGCUGGGAGUACACGAAUGAUCCACUGUGCCCAGCUAGGUAUUUCUUUACAGCAACGCAAAUGGCCUAACACGAAAAAUUGGUACUGAGGUAUGGGGUGUUGCUAUAACAAUACCUGAAAAUGUGGAAGUGGGUUCAUAACUGGGUAACAGGCAGAGCCUGGAAGAUUUUGAAGGGGUCAUCAGAAGACAG